rnacentral:ncRNA from 1 species
GAGAGAACGGUACGAUGAAAGUUGUGAGCUGUGUUCGGGGGGGAGUUAUUGUCUAUCAUUGGCCUCUAUGGUAGAAUCAGUCAGGGAGGCCUGAGAGACGGUGGUUUACCCUAU